rnacentral:rRNA from 1 species
UACGUAGGGUGCGAGCGUUGUCCGGAAUUAUUGGGCGUAAAGGGCUCGUAGGCGGCCAACUAAGUCGGAUGUGAAAUCCCCAGGCUUAACCUGGGAACUGCAUCCGAUACUGGAUGGCUUGAAUCCGGGAGAGGGAUGCAGAAUUCCAGGUGUAGCGGUGAAAUGCGUAGAUAUCUGGAGGAAUACCGGUGGCGAAGGCGGCAUCCUGGACCGGCAUUGACGCUGAGUGAGCGAAAGCUAGGGGAGCAAACGGG